rnacentral:ncRNA from 1 species
CGCCUCGAUCGUGGGAUCCAGCACGCGCCGUCUCGGCGUGCUUCGGCACCUGCGUGCUCCGGACGUCGGCCUGCAGGCUCCCCAUUCGGCCCGUCUUGAAACACGGACCAAGGAGUCUGACAUGUGUAUGAGUCAACGAGCUAGAAAACCCGUAAGACGUAAGGAAGCUGAUUGGCGGGAUCCCUCACGGGUGCACCGCCGACCGACAUUGAUCUUUUGAGAAGGGUUGGAGUGAGAGC